rnacentral:lncRNA from 1 species
AAAUGUAACAGCAGCAUGGUUGGCCAAUUUCCAAUACUCCUCCUUGGACUCCAUGCUGCAAAUACCAGUCAUUCAUCAAGUUUUUUUGAACUUGGCAGCUCUUAGAUGCUUUGAUUCAAGCUGACCAAUUCAUUUUCUUCUUGCACAAACAGUUCGUGAGUAUAGUUGCUUGCCUUCAUUCUGCCAUUUUGGCUUGCAAUUCGACAGGCUCACACUUUGCUUACUGUCUUCAAGAGGCUUGCAACUAUACAACACGCAUUGAGCUUCCACAUGUUGCUGAGCUCACACCUUUGACAGACUCACAUCUUUGCAUAUUGUCUUCAACAGGUGUCUUCAUCAGGCUCGCACUUUGCUAAGCUUGCAGCUUUGACAUCUUGCUAAGCUUGCACAUUUGGAAAGCUCACACCUUUCCUUUAAAC